CCUACGGGAGGCAGCAGUGAGGAAUAUUGGUCAAUGGACGAGAGUCUGAACCAGCCAAGUAGUGUGAAGGAUGACUGCCCUAUGGGUUGUAAACUUCUUUUAUAUGGGAAUAAAACGUUCCACGUGUGGGAUUUUGUAUGUACCAUAUGAAUAAGGAUCGGCUAACUCCGUGCCAGCAGCCGCGGUAAUACGGAGGAUCCGAGCGUUAUCCGGAUUUAUUGGGUUUAAAGGGAGCGUAGGUGGAUUGUUAAGUCAGUUGUGAAAGUUUGCGGCUCAACCGUAAAAUUGCAGUUGAAACUGGCAGUCUUGAGUACAGUAGAGGUGGGCGGAAGUCGUGGUGUAGCGGUGAAAUGCUUAGAUAUCACGAAGAACUCCGAUUGCGAAGGCAGUUCACUGGACUGCAACUGACACUGAGGCUCGAAAGUGUGGGUAUCAAACAGGAUUAGAUACCCUGUAGUC
rnacentral:rRNA from 1 species